GGGCCCGCACAAGCGGAGGAACAUGUGGUUUAAUUCGAUGAUACGCGAGGAACCUUACCCGGGCUCGAACGAUAUUUGAAUACAUCUGAAAGGUUGUAGCUAGCAAUAGCAAAUAUCGAGGUGCUGCAUGGUUGUCGUCAGCUCGUGCCGUGAGGUGUAGACUUAAGUGUCAUAACGAGCGCAACCCUUACCGAUAGUUACCAUCAGGUAAAGCUGGGGACCCUCUAUUGGAACUGCCACCGCAAGGUGUGAGGAAGGUGAGGAUGACGUCAAAUCAGCACGGCCCUUAUGUCCGGGGCGACACACGUGUUACAAUGGGAGGUACAAAGGGUUGCUACCUGGUGACAGGAUGCUAAUCUCAAAAACCUCUCUCAGUUCGGAUUGGAGUCUGCAACUCGACUCCAUGAAGCUGGAUUCGCUAGUAAUCGCACAUCAGCCACGGUGCGGUGAAUACG
rnacentral:rRNA from 1 species